UUACUUACCUGGACAGGGUCAAUGGCUGAUCAAGAAGGGCCAUGGCCUAGGUUAGAGGCUUCCAUUGCACUCAGGAAGGGCUCUCGCCUAAGGUCUACCCAAGUGGUGGAGCCUAUGUCAUAAUUUGUGACAGGUGGAGCUUGCGUUCGCGCAGCUCCGCG
rfam:Daucus carota subsp. sativus cultivar DH1 chromosome 1, whole genome shotgun sequence.